UACAGAGGGUGCGAGCGUUAAUCGGAAUUACUGGGCGUAAAGCGCGCGUAGGCGGCUUUUCAAGUCGAUUGUGAAAUCCCCGGGCUCAACCUGGGAACUGCAUUUGUGACUGCAUGGCUGGAGUGCGGCAGAGGGGGAUGGAAUUCCGCGUGUAGCAGUGAAAUGCGUAGAUAUGCGGAGGAACACCGAUGGCGAAGGCAAUCCCCUGGGCCUGCACUGACGCUCAUGCACGAAAGCGUGGGGAGCAAACAGG
rnacentral:rRNA from 1 species